AAAUUGAAGAGUUUGAUCAUGGCUCAGAUUGAACGCUGGCGGCAGGCCUAACACAUGCAAGUCGAACGGUAACAGGAAGCAGCUUGCUGCUUCGCUGACGAGUGGCGGACGGGUGAGUAAUGUCUGGGAAACUGCCUGAUGGAGGGGGAUAACUACUGGAAACGGUAGCUAAUACCGCAUAAUGUCGCAAGACCAAAGAGGGGGACCUUCGGGCCUCUUGCCAUCGGAUGUGCCCAGAUGGGAUUAGCUUGUUGGUGGGGUAACGGCUCACCAAGGCGACGAUCCCUAGCUGGUCUGAGAGGAUGACCAGCCACACUGGAACUGAGACACGGUCCAGACUCCUACGGGAGGCAGCAGUGGGGAAUAUUGCACAAUGGGCGCAAGCCUGAUGCAGCCAUGCCGCGUGUAUGAAGAAGGCCUUCGGGUUGUAAAGUACUUUCAGCGGGGAGGAAGGGAGUAAAGUUAAUACCUUU
rnacentral:rRNA from 2 species